UACGAAGGGGGCGAGCGUUAUUCGGAAUCACUGGGCGUAAAGCGUGCGUAGGCUGUUUCACAAGUUGGAAGUGAAAGCCCAGGGCUUAACCCUGGAAUUGCUUUCAAAACUGUGAGACUCGAGUUCGGGAGAGGAUAGCGGAAUUUCCAGUGUAGUAGUGAAAUACGUAGAUAUUGGAAGGAACACCAGUGGCGCAAGCGGCUAUCUGGACCGACACUGACGCUGAGGCACGAAAGCGUGGGGAUCAAACAGG
rnacentral:rRNA from 1 species